rnacentral:rRNA from 1 species
UACAGAGGGGGCAAGCGUUGUUCGGAAUUACUGGGCGUAAAGGGCGCGUAGGCGGCCUGUUAAGUCGGACGUGAAAUCCCUCGGCUCAACCGGGGAACUGCGUCCGAUACUGGCGGGCUUGAAUUCGGGAGAGGGAUGUGGAAUUCCAGGUGUAGCGGUGAAAUGCGUAGAUAUUGGGAAGAACACCGAUGGCGAAGGCAGCCAUCUGGACCGACACUGACGCUGAGGCGCGAAAGCGUGGGGAGCAAACAGG